UGGACGAAAGUCUGACCGAGCAACGCCGCGUGAGUGAAGAAGGUUUUCGGAUCGUAAAGCUCUGUUGUAAGUCAAGAACGUGUGUGAGAGUGGAAAGUUCACACAGUGACGGUAGCUUACCAGAAAGGGACGGCUAACUACGUGCCAGCAGCCGCGGUAAUACGUAGGUCCCGAGCGUUGUCCGGAUUUAUUGGGCGUAAAGGGAGCGCAGGCGGUCAGGAAAGUCUGGAGUAAAAGGCUAUGGCUCAACCAUAGUGUGCUCUGGAAACUGUCUGACUUGAGUGCAGAAGGGGAGAGUGGAAUUCCAUGAGUAGCGGUGAAAUGCGUAGAUAUAUGGAGGAACACCAGUGGCGAAAGCGGCUCUCUGGUCUGUCACUGACGCUGAGGCUCGAAAGCGUGGGUAGCGAACAGGAUUAGAUACCCUGGUAGUCCACGCCGUAAACGAUGAGUGCUAGGUGUUGGGCCCUUUCCGGGGCUUAGUGCCGGAGCUAACGCAAUAAGCACUCCGCCUGGGGAGUACGACCGCAAGGUUGAAACUCAAAGGAAUUGACGGGGGCCCGCACAAGCGGUGGAGCAUGUGGUUUAAUUCGAAGCAACGCGAAGAACCUUACCAGGUCUUGACAUCCC
rnacentral:rRNA from 1 species